CGAUUUUGUUACUGGACUACCUUCUUCACAAGUAUUCCUCUGGACAUUGUCUCUGAUCGUGGUCCUCAGUUCACCUCCCAGGUUUGGAAGGCAUUCUGUCAGGCCCUUGGAGCUUCUGAAUCCCACCUCUUGGAGUGUCCAUCUUCCCUGGAUUGAAUACGCCCAC